rnacentral:rRNA from 1 species
AUUGAACGCUGGCGGCAUGCUUUACACAUGCAAGUCGAACGGUAACAGGCCUUCGGGCGCUGACGAGUGGCGAACGGGUGAGUAAUGCAUCGGAACGUGCCCAGAGGUGGGGGAUAACGCAGCGAAAGCUGUGCUAAUACCGCAUAUUAUCUGAGGAUGAAAGCGGGGGACUAAGCAGCAAUGUUUGGCCUCGCGCCUUUGGAGCGGCCGAUGUCAGAUUAGGUAGUUGGUGGGGUAAAGGCUCACCAAGCCAACGAUCUGUAGCUGGUCUGAGAGGACGACCAGCCACACUGGAACUGAGACACGGCCCAGACUCCUACGGGAGGCAGCAGUGGGGAAUCUUGGACAAUGGGCGCAAGCCUGAUCCAGCCAUGCCGCGUGGAUGAUGAAGGCCUUAGGUUGUAAAAUCCUUUCUAACGGGACGAUAAUGACGGUACCGUAAGAAUAAG